rnacentral:snRNA from 1 species
UUAGUUAAUAUUAACAUAACGUUAAUACAAUUUUUAAACCUGUUCUUAUCAGUUUAAUGUUUGAUGUCUCCUUGUUGUGGGGACUGCAUAAUAAAUGCACUUGUGGAACAGGGAGAUGGGCUGGGAGAUUGCUCUAUAGGCUCCAUUCAUUGAUCUGCUGAUGCAAUGCCUCCAGUGAAAAAAGUGCAGCCUCU